UCAGCAUCGUAAGGCAUCUAGCUAAGACAACUCAGAGAAGUGCUGAUAUAUUGGACAUAUUGUGUUGUUAUAUUUCUUCUAAUAACUGUUAUCGAAAAAUAAAUUCAGAAACAGCAUUCGAUUAAAAAAAACAAAGAUGACCUUCAAAUCUUAGGAAUCACCUGAAAAAAAGCGUUACCACCGCAAGGAUUACUUCUGCACCAUUAACAUCCUCUGACAAAGUUGAUAACGCGAGAAACGAGCUGGAGCAUCAACAGUAAGUAAUAGUGCAAUCGGGAAAGCUCUUAGGAAAAUAUGGUUGCGCUCGAAAAUGAACCUGGAAUCAGACAGUCCGUUACUAA
rnacentral:misc_RNA from 1 species